AUGAACGCUAGCGACAGGCCUAACACAUGCAAGUCGAGGGGCAGCACAAGGAGCAAUCUGAGGUGGCGACCGGCGCACGGGUGAGUAACACGUAUGCAACCUGCCUGUAAGCGGGGAAUAACCCGUUGAAAGACGGACUAAUACCGCAUAAUACUAAAUUACUGCAUGGUAAUUUAUUUAAACAUUUAUGGCUUACAGAUGGGCAUGCGCAUGAUUAGCUAGUUGGAGAGGUAACGGCUCCCCAAGGCAACGAUCAUUAGGGGUUCUGAGAGGAAGGUCCCCCACACUGGUACUGAGACACGGACCAGACUCCUACGGGAGGCAGCAGUGAGGAAUAUUGGUCAAUGGACGAGAGUCUGAACCAGCCAAGUCGCGUGCAGGAAGAAUGUCCUAAUGGAUUGUAAACUGCUUUUGCAGGGGAAUAAAGUGCAUCACGUGUGAUGCUUUGUAUGUACUCUGCGAAUAAGGAUCGGCUAACUCCGUGCCAGCCGCCGC
rnacentral:rRNA from 1 species